ensembl:lncRNA
CUAGACAAACUGCAGGAGGGGAAUAUCUGAAUCUCUAGGGUUCUGUGAAUUACUCAACCUCUCACAAUCAUAAGAAUGACUGAAAGCAAGAACAAGAGACUGAACACAUUAUACAAACAUAUGCCCACAGAACUCUGACUUGCAACUUUUGUAACAGCACAGGAAUCCAAACCAGCCUCUACAGUAGCCAGGCCAGGAAGUCAAACCAUAACCUCUGCAGCAAUUGACUCAGAGUAGUCAGGACUUGGUCACUGAUUUCCAGCUUCCAUAUUUUUUGCCCCUUCUUCCAAUUGGAGAAAACCAAAUACAUUCCUCAAAAUCAAUCGCAUAAGAUACUCCACUUUGGGUUAGACUGCUUCUGGCUUCCCAAACAACUUCUAGUCAGAGCAUAACUGAAGCCAUCUUCCUUCUGCACUAUAAAGCUUUCCUACCAUUCUGCCUGCCUUUGAGUCUCUGCCAGACACAAAGUGAGGGGAGCUGACCACCUACUUCAGCAAGUUCUGAGCAAGUAUAUCAAGAAUGGAAGAAACCCUGGAAAAAUGAUCAAGACUUGUUCUGUUUCCUAACAGAAGGAAGAAUACUGUGCAGUCAUUUAGGGCUGAGAAGUCAAGCAGCCAUCAGCUGGGACACUCAAAAUGCAGAGCCUGCAGAGAGGCCUGCUGAGCUGGGAAAAUGGGGACACAGGUUCCAUCCCUGGAGGAGAACUAAGAUUCCACAUGCUGCGGAGCAACUAAACCCAAGAGCUGCAACUAGAGAGUCAAUGCAUUACGAUGGAAGAUCCUGCACUGACACCAUAACUAAGAACGAAUGCAGCCAAAUAAAUCAUUUUUAAAAUAAAUAAAUUUUUU